rnacentral:rRNA from 1 species
GAGUUUGAUCAUGGCUCAGGACGAACGCUGGCGGCGUGCCUAACACAUGCAAGUCGAGCGGGGAGAGAUUUUCGGAUUUCUCUUUAGCGGCGGACGGGUGAGUAACACGUGGGUAACCUGCCUCAGAGUGGGGGAUAGCCUUCCGAAAGGGAGAUUAAUACCGCAUAACAUCGGAGCACUGCAUGGUGCUUUGAUCAAAGGAGCAAUCCGCUUUGAGAUGGACCCGCGGCGCAUUAGCUAGUUGGUGAGGUAACGGCCCACCAAGGCGACGAUGCGUAGCCGACCUGAGAGGGUGAUCGGCCACAUUGGAACUGAGACACGGUCCAGACUCCUACGGGAGGCAGCAGUGGGGAAUAUUGCACAAUGGGCGAAAGCCUGAUGCAGCAACGCCGCGUGAGUGAUGAAGGCCUUCGGGUCGUAAAGCUCUUUGAUCAGGGACGAUAAUGACGGUACCUGAAAAACAAGCCACGGCUAACUACGUGCCAGCAGCCGCGGUAAUACGUAGGUGGCGAGCGUUGUCCGGAUUUACUGGGCGUAAAGAAUGCGUAGGUGGAUAUUUAAGUGGGAUGUGAAAUCCCCGGGCUCAACCCGGGAACUGCAUACCAAACUGGAUAUCCGGAGUGCAGGAGAGGAAAGCGGAAUUCCUAGUGUAGCGGUGAAAUGCGUAGAUAUUAGGAGGAACACCAGUGGCGAAGGCGGCUUUCUGGACUGUAACUGACACUGAGGCAUGAAAGCGUGGGGAGCAAACAGGAUUAGAUACCCUGGUAGUCCACGCCGUAAACUAUGGGUACUAAGUGGAGGGGGGUACGACUCCCCCUGUGGCCGCCGUAACACAAUAAAGACCCCGCCUGGGGAGGAAGGUCGCAAGACUAAAACUUCAAGGAAUUGGCGGGA